rnacentral:rRNA from 1 species
UACGUAGGGGGCAAGCGUUGUCCGGAUUCAUUAGGCGUAAAGAGCGUGUAGGCGGCCAGGUAGGUCGGUUGUGAAAACUGGAGGCUCAACCUUCAGAGGUCGACCGAAACCAUCUGGCUAGAGUCCGGGAGAGGAGAGUGGAAUUCCUGGUGUAGCGGUGAAAUGCGCAGAUAUCAGGAAGAACACCCGUGGCGAAAGCGGCUCUCUGGAACGGUACUGACGCUGAGACGCGAAAGCGUGGGGAGCGAACAGG